GGGCGCAUGGUGUAGUUGGUUAUCACGCUCGCUUAGCAUUCACGUACCAGGAAUUCGGUCAGCUUGCGAGAGGUGUUGGGUUCAAUUCCCAAUGUGUCCA